UGCUUUUAAGACUCAGGUGCCAAACAGCAAUCCGUAGUGUUUAAUAUCCUUCUGCACAACUUACUCCAUUUGUGCAUUGAAAUUGAUUUACUUCAUCUUGGCAUCCAUGAAAUAGAUCCAGAGGGAGUACCAUUUUGAGCCAUUAUUGAAGCAUGUGAAAUGGCACCCACAACAGACAAUUAAGAGUUCAGGAUUGGAGCACUUUUUGAUAUCUCAACAAACAUGAAAAAACUGCUUCCUUACCAGCUUUUCUGAGGGUAUGUUUCACAACUAGCAUACUGCAAAACAUCAUGUGCUAUCAAUGCACAAUGACAAUCCAUACACUGUUACAGUAUGGAACAUCAUUGUUAGACUUCUUCACUGUCCAUCAAUAUGACUAUUACAAUGAACAGCAAGAGCAUCUCUGACCACAAUAUGAAGCUAACAACGAAGAAUGAUGCAAAUUCAAUGAUCCUAUUGACUGAACUGUGG